rnacentral:tRNA from 1 species
GCCCGGGUGGUGAAAUUGGUAGACACAAGGGACUUAAAAUCCCUCGGGCUUAAACCGCCCAUGCCGGUUCGAUUCCGGCCCCGGGCA